rnacentral:rRNA from 1 species
AAUUUUCCGCAAUGGGCGAAAGCCUGACGGAGCAAUACCGCGUGAGGGAUGACUGCCUAUGGGUUGUAUCCCUCUUUUUUCAGGGAGGAAUUUAUGACGUGGACCUGAAGAAUAAGCAUCGGCAAACUCAGUACCAGCAGCCGCGGUAAGACGGAGGAUGCAAGUGUUAUCCGGAAUCACUGGGCGUAAAGCGUCUGUAGGUGGUUCAAUAAGUCAACUGUCAAAUCUUGAGGCUCAACUUCAAACGUGCAGUCGAAACUAUUGGACUCGAGUAUAGUAGGGGUAAAGGGAAUUUCCAGUGGAGCGGUGAAAUGCGUAGAGAUUGGAAAGAACACCGAUGGCGAAGGCACUUUACUGGGCUAUCACUGACACUGAGAGACGAAAGCUAGGGUAGCAAA